rnacentral:rRNA from 1 species
CAAAGGGAGCAAUCCCGGCCACGGAUGGGCAUGCGGCGCAUUAGCUAGUCGGCGGGGUAACGGCCCACCGAGGCGACGAUGCGUAGGGGUUCUGAGAGGAAGGCCCCCCACACUGGUACUGAGACACGGACCAGACUCCUACGGGAGGCAGCAGUGAGGAAUAUUGGUCAAUGGGCGCGAGCCUGAACCAGCCAAGUCGCGUGAGGGAGGACGGCCCUACGGGUUGUAAACCUCUUUUGCCGGGGAGCAACGGGCGCCACGUGUGGCGUCACUGAGAGUACCCGGAGAAAAAGCAUCGGCUAACUCCGUGCCAGCAGCCGCGGUAAUACGGAGGAUGCGAGCGUUAUCCGGAUUUAUUGGGUUUAAAGGGUGCGUAGGCGGAUCGUUAAGUCAGUGGUCAAAUUGAGGGGCUCAACCCCUUCCCGCCAUUGAAACUGGCGCUCUUGAGUGGAAGAGAAGUAUGCGGAAUGCGUGGUGUAGCGGUGAAAUGCAUAGAUAUCACGCAGAACCCCGAUUGCGAAGGCAGCAUGCCGGCUUCCGACUGACGCUGAAGCACGAAAGCGUGGGGAUCGAACAGGAUUAGAUACCCUGGUAGUCCACGCGGUAAACGAUGAGCGCUAGGUGUCCGGGGGGAAUGGCCCCUGG